rnacentral:misc_RNA from 1 species
CAACUUCCACCUGGCUUACCUCCNUCAGUUAUGCGUCAUGACUUGUAUCGUCUUGAGCGUAUUGUGGGUUUCCUGUGUUGCAUACCUUUCUAAUGGUAUCGUGUUGAUUGAUCGAAGUCCCUUUUCAUCUUGUGUUGCUUUUUGCGACGCAUGAUGAACAUCGAGGCGGUCUCUAUGUUCCACCACGUUGAUGCUAGCGUUUUGAUGUUGUGGCCCAUUGAGUGUUGCUUGGUUUCGUGGAUACAGAACAUGAUUUGGGCAUAGGGUUACUUGUGACUCUUGUUUUGUCCUUUAUCUGUGUUCUUUAUAACGACAGUUCAUGUGCGCCUAGGCUCGUACCUGCGUGAUGUUCUUUGUCGAAGAGGAAUGCUACCUGGUUGAUCCUGCCAGUAGUCAUAUGCUUGUCUCAAAGAUUAAGCCAUGCAUGUGUAAGUA